UACGUAGGGAGCAAGCGUUAUCCGGAUUUACUGGGUGUAAAGGGCGCGUAGGCGGGAUGGCAAGUCAGAUGUGAAAUCCAGGGGCUCAACCCCUGAACUGCAUUUGAAACUGUCGUUCUUGAGUACUGGAAAGGUUGACGGAAUUCCUAGUGUAGCGGUGAAAUGCGUAGAUAUUAGGAGGAACACCAGUGGCGAAGGCGGUCAACUGGACAGCAACUGACGCUGAGGCGCGAAAGCGUGGGGAGCAAACAGG
rnacentral:rRNA from 1 species